UCAGAUUUAGCUCAGUGGCACUGCACCUGCCUCACAAGCACAAGGUUCUGGGUUCAAUCCCCAGUAUCAAAA
rnacentral:tRNA from 1 species